rnacentral:rRNA from 1 species
UAGAGUUUGAUCCUGGCUCAGGAUGAAUGCUGGCGGCGUGCUUAACACAUGCAAGUCGAACGGGGCGGCGGGGAGGAAUCCCUUCGGGGAGGAGACCCCGCGGCCUAGUGGCGGACGGGUGAGUAACGCGUGGGCAACCUGCCCCAUACCGGGGGAUAACAGCCGGAAACGGCUGCUAACACCGCAUAAGCGCUGGGGGCCGCAUGGCACCCGGCGGAAAACUCCGGUGGUAUGGGAUGGGCCCGCGUCUGAUUAGGCAGUUGGCGGGGCAGCGGCCCACCAAACCGACGAUCAGUAGCCGGCCUGAGAGGGCGGCCGGCCACAUUGGGACUGAGACACGGCCCAGACUCCUGCGGGAGGCAGCAGUGGGGAAUAUUGCACAAUGGGGGGAACCCUGAUGCAGCGACGCCGCGUGGGCGAGGAAGUAUUUCGGUAUGUAAAGCCCUAUCGGCAGGGAAGAAGAAAUGACGGUACCUGAAUAAGAAGCACCGGCUAAAUACGUGCCAGCAGCCGCGGUAAUACGUAUGGUGCAAGCGUUAUCCGGAUUUACUGGGCGUAAAGGGAGCGCAGGCGGCGCGCCAAGUCUGAUGUGAAACCC